rnacentral:tRNA from 1 species
AAGUAGCCGCCGGAAGAACGGACGUCAUUGAUGUUGACAAUUAUGGAAUUUAUCCGCUACUUU